rnacentral:rRNA from 1 species
AGCGAACGUUAGCGGCGGGCCUAACACAUGCAAGUCGAGCGAGAAAGUGGCUUCGGCCACGAGUAAAGCGGCGGACGGGUGAGUAACACGUAGGUAAUCUUCCCUUGAGCGGGGGACAACGAGCCGAAAGGCUCGCUAAUACCGCAUACGUUUCCAGAGGCCCCGGUCUCUGGAAGGAAAGCUAGGCCGCAAGGUCUGGCACUCGAGGAGGAGCCUGCGUCGCAUCAGCUAGUUGGUGGGGUAACGGCCUACCAAGGCGAAGACGCGUAGCUGGUCUGAGAGGAUGAUCAGCCACACUGGGACUGGGACACGGCCCAGACUCCUACGGGAGGCAGCAGUGGGGAAUAUUGGACAAUGGGCGCAAGCCUGAUCCAGCCACGCCGCGUGAGUGAUGAAGGCCUUCGGGUCGUAAAGCUCUGUGGGGAGGGACGAACCGCUGCACGUUCAUAGCGUGCAGCAUGACGGUACCUCCUUAGCAAGCACCGGCUAACUUCGUGCCAGCAGCCGCCGCGG